rnacentral:pre_miRNA from 14 species
AGGGCGAUGGAUUCCCUGCUGGCUGCGGGUGCUCUGACUAGGUUGCACUACUGUGCUGUGGAAAGCAGUGCAAUGGUAUUGUCAAAGCAUCUGGGACCAGUCUCACAGACUACCUCAC